AACCGAUAUCCAACAAGAACUAUGGAAUUGCGAUAAACAAAUCAACCACGUAUGCGGUAGUAGACAAGUUGAAGAAAUCGGACAAAAAGUUUACAAAAAAUGAUGAUACUUAUUCUGAUUUACCAGAUGGACAAUAUGAUCAGCUAAAUGAUAUUCAAAAAAGGAAAUUCAUAUUGGAAGAUAACUUGUACGACAGUCACGAAGAAAUACGAGAUCAAAAUGACCCUACCAAUACUAUUUCAAAUUUUAGUAGUCAUGGUAGAAGUCAUGACGUAACAGAUGUAUAUGAUCAUUCGUUUUUGGGUACACAGAAUGACGGAGAGUAUGCUUAUUCUUCAACCUACAGAAGCGAUUUAUAAAACGAAACCGAAAUAUAUGACCAGACAAUUUGAUCAUACUAAUUUAAUAAAAAGAGACUUAAGCCAAGACCAAUAGAAAA
rnacentral:lncRNA from 1 species